rnacentral:rRNA from 1 species
UGGGGAAUAUUGGACAAUGGGCGAAAGCCUGAUCCAGCCAUGCCGCGUGUGUGAAGAAGGUCUUCGGAUUGUAAAGCACUUUAAGUUGGGAGGAAGGGCAGUAAGCGAAUACCUUGCUGUUUUGACGUUACCGACAGAAUAAGCACCGGCUAACUCUGUGCCAGCAGCCGCGGUAAUACAGAGGGUGCAAGCGUUAAUCGGAAUUACUGGGCGUAAAGCGCGCGUAGGUGGUUCGUUAAGUUGAAUGUGAAAGCCCCGGGCUCAACCUGGGACGUGCAUCCAAAACUGGCGAGCUAGAGUAGGGCAGAGGGUGGUGGAAUUUCCUGUGUAGCGGUGAAAUGCGUAGAUAUAGGAAGGAACACCAGUGGCGAAGGCGACCACCUGGGCUCAUACUGACACUGAGGUGCGAAAGCGUGGGGAGCAAACAGG